GCCAGUGUGGUGUAGUGGUCUAAGUGCUGGACUACAAAUCUGGAGACCAGGUUUUGAAUCCCUGCUUGGCCA